rnacentral:rRNA from 1 species
GCUUGGGGACUACGAGCACGUGCUUAAAACUCAAAGAACUUGGCGGCUUGUUAACUACCUAGGGGAAUAUGUGCCUUAAUCCGAUAGUCCCCGACAUAUUUUACUUGGCCUUGAAAAAUCAGUUGGUGUAUUGCCGUUGUCAGCUUGUUGUUGAGCAGAGAGAAACAGGCUUAAAGGGACUGCCUGGGUUAGGCAGGUUCCAUGAAUUCAGGUCGUAAUACUGCCUAUGGCUUCAGGGAGUGGGUGUUACAAUUCUUAGUCGGAAUAUGGAUCCUUUUAUGAAAAAAAGGUGAAAGUGAACUUAGGAGUAAGGGAGGAUUAAUAUGCCACCCUGAACUUGAAUCUAGCUUGUGUACAAACUGCCCGUCGCUCUCGGUAAGAGCUGAGAUAAGUC